UCUUGCAAGGUUCAAGAACGGAUC
rnacentral:siRNA from 1 species